AGCGGCGGACGGGUGAGUAACACGUGGGCGAACCUGCCUCAUAGAGAGGAAUAGCCUUCCGAAAGGGAGAUUAAUACCUCAUAACAUUGCAGUUUCGCAUGGAACAGCAAUUAAAGGAGUAAUCCGCUAUGAGAUGGGCCCGCGGCGCAUUAGCUAGUUGGUGAGGUAACGGCUCACCAAGGCGACGAUGCGUAGCCGACCUGAGAGGGUGGAUCGGCCACAUUGGGACUGAGACACGGCCCAGACUCCUACGGGAGGCAGCAGUGGGGAAUAUUGCACAAUGGGGGAAACCCUGAUGCCAGCAACGCCGCGUGAGUGAUGACGGCCUUCGGGUUGUAAAGCUCUGUCUUCAGGGACGAUAAUGACGGUACCUGAGGAGGAAGCCACGGCUAACUACGUGCCAGCCGCCGC
rnacentral:rRNA from 1 species